UACGAAGGGGGCUAGCGUUGCUCGGAAUCACUGGGCGUAAAGCGCACGUAGGCGGAUUGUUAAGUCGGGGGUGAAAUCCUGGAGCUCAACUCCAGAACUGCCUUUGAUACUGGAGAGCUUGAGUUCGGGAGAGGUGAGUGGAACUGCGAGUGUAGAGGUGAAAUUCGUAGAUAUUCGCAAGAACACCAGUGGCGAAGGCGGCUCACUGGCCCGGUACUGACGCUGAGGUGCGAAAGCGUGGGGAGCAAACAGG
rnacentral:rRNA from 1 species